AGUGGGUUAACUGCCUUGUUCAGGGACAGAACGACAGAUUUGUACCUUGUCUGCUCAGGGAUUUCGAACUUGCAACCUUUCGGUUACUAGUCCACCGCUCUAACCACUAGGCUACGCUGCCACCCCAGAAUGACAAACAGUUGUUUGAUGUGGCUGUCAAAGGUCAGGGAGGAAUCGAUCUUUACAGCUAGACUGGAAACUGAGGGGGAGAGAGGGAUGUUCUGUCCUGCAACUGUCAGGUGUGUUAUCGGUGAGCUGUGUUAUCGGUGAGGUGCGUUAUUGGUGAGGUAUGUUAUCGGUGAGGUGCGUUAUUGGUGAGGUGUGUUAUCGGUGAGGUGCGUUAUUGGUGAGGUGUGUUAUCGGUGAGUGCUGGACCUGGUGUGUGAUUGGUGAGGUGUGUUAUUGGUGAGGUGUGUUAUUGGUGAGGUGUGUUAUUGGUGAGGUGUGUUAUUGGUGAGUGCUGGACCUGGUGUGUUAUUGGAGAGGUGUGUUAUUGGGGAGUGCUGAACCUGGUGUGUUAUUGGUGAGGUGUGUUAUUGGGGAGUGCUGGACCUGGUGUGUUAUUGGUGAGGUGUGUUAUUGGGGAGUGCUGAACCUGGUGUGUUAUUGGUGAGGUGUGUUAUUGGUGAGGUGUGUUAUUGGGGAGUGCUGGACCUGGUGUGUUAUUGGUGAGGUGUGUUAUUGGGGAGUGCUGAACCUGGUGUGUUAUUGGGGAGGUGUGUUAUUGGGGAGUGCUGGACCUGGUGUGUUAUUGGGGAGUGCUGGACCUGGUGUGUUAUUGGGGGUUGCUGGACCUGGUGUGGGGAGCCAACAAGUAGGUCCUCUGUGUUGCUGCAAGACAAGGCCCAGUUUCAUUCACACCCGC
ensembl:lncRNA